rnacentral:rRNA from 1 species
AUUGAACGCUGGCGGCAGGCCUAACACAUGCAAGUCGAACGGUAACAGGAAGCAGCUUGCUGCUUCGCUGACGAGUGGCGGACGGGUGAGUAAUGUCUGGGAAGCUGCCUGAUGGAGGGGGAUAACUACUGGAAACGGUAGCUAAUACCGCAUAAUGUCGCAAGACCAAAGAGGGGGACCUUCGGGCCUCUUGCCAUCGGAUGUGCCCAGAUGGGAUUAGCUUGUUGGUGGGGUAACGGCUCACCAAGGCGACGAUCCCUAGCUGGUCUGAGAGGAUGACCAGCCACACUGGAACUGAGACACGGUCCAGACUCCUACGGGAGGCAGCAGUGGGGAAUAUUGCACAAUGGGCGCAAGCCUGAUGCAGCCAUGCCGCGUGUAUGAAGAAGGCCUUCGGGUUGUAAAGUACUUUCAGCGGGGAGGAAGGGAGUAAAGUUAAUACCUUUGCUUAUUGACGUUACCCGCAGAAGAAGCACCGGCUAACUCCGUG